rnacentral:rRNA from 1 species
GCGAACGGGUGAGUAACACGUGGGUGAUCUGCCCUGCACUUUGGGAUAAGCCUGGGAAACUGGGUCUAAUACCGAAUAUGACCAUGGCAUGCAUGUGCUGUGGUGGAAAGCUUUUGCGGUGUGGGAUGGGCCCGCGGCCUAUCAGCUUGUUGGUGGGGUGAUGGCCUACCAAGGCGACGACGGGUAGCCGGCCUGAGAGGGUGUCCGGCCACACUGGGACUGAGAUACGGCCCAGACUCCUACGGGAGGCAGCAGUGGGGAAUAUUGCACAAUGGGCGCAAGCCUGAUGCAGCGACGCCGCGUGAGGGACGACGGCCUUCGGGUUGUAAACCUCUUUCAGCACAGACGAAGCGCAAGUGACGGUAUGUGCAGAAGAAGCACCGGCCAACUACGUGCCAGCAGCCGCGGUAAUACGUAGGGUGCGAGCGUUGUCCGGAAUUACUGGGCGUACAGAGCUCGUAGGUGGUUUGUACGCGUAGUUCGUGAAAACUCACAGCUCAAUCUG